rnacentral:misc_RNA from 1 species
AUGCGAUAAGUAAUGUGAAUUGCAGAAUUCAGUGAAUCAUCGAAUCUUUGAACGCACAUUGCGCCCCCUGGUAUUCCGGGGGGCAUGCCUGUCCGAGCGUCAUUACAACCCUCAAGCUCAGCUUGGUGUUGGGCCCCGCCGCCCCGGCGGGCCCUAAAGUCAGUGGCGGUGCCGUCCGGCUCCGAGCGUAGUAAUUCUUCUCGCUCUGGAGGCCCGGUCGCGUGCCCGCCAGCAACCCCCAAUUUUUUUCAGGUUGACCUCGGAUCAGGUAGGGAUACCCGCUGAACUUAA